rnacentral:lncRNA from 10 species
AGUAGUAGGCGCAUGCGUGGUUGCGAUCAUGGCUGGCGGUAACUUCGCGUUUCUGUUACCCAUUUUUAAAACGCAUCUUCAGGUGUUCCUUCCUUCUCAUGGAAGGAACAUUAAUUAAAUUCAGAGGGACUGGGUUUUAGUCCUAACUCUUAUUCCUACUGGCUGUGUAACCGUGGACAAAUUAUUUAACUUCUCAGAAUCAGGUUGUUCAAACCUGAGGUUGAACUGCAAAAAGGUUACGAAGUGACACUCAGUAGGGCCCGAAUCCAUGUUUUCUUUGAUCCCAAUCUUUUUUAAAAAAAUUUCUUUUAAUUACUUGCCAACAUUUUAGAAUUUGGAAAUCUCACAUGAAAUUCUGGACUUUUGAAGCUGAGGAAUUCCAUUGCAACAAUCAAGGAGACUAAAUAGGAAAUGACACUUCUGUUUGGCCAUCUUGCCCUCAUUGGUUUAGAAUGGCAGUGGUUCUCAACCCUGGCUGCACAUUAGAAUCACUUUAGGAGAGGUAAAACCAUACUCACGCUGGAGACCUACUCCUAGAAAUUCUAAAGAGUUUGGGGCUGGGAACUGGCCAUUGAUCUGCCUUUGAAGUUUCCCAAGUGAUUCCCAACCUCUGAUGUAAUAAAUUUCUGGCUGCUGUCGUAUUUGAGAUUUGACCCCCCCAGGUCUAAGACUUAAUUGAUUUUUAAGGCUGUAAGACAUUUCUAAGACUUUGACUUUUAAGACUUUCCUGCCUCAUUCUGAAGAGAAAAGGCCACAUGAGGACACCAUGAGAAGGCAGCUGUCUACAAGCCAGGAAGAGAGUCCUCACCAGAAACCAGCUCUGCUGGCACCUUGAACUUGGACUUCACGCCUCCAGAACAGUGAGAAAAUAAAUUUCUGCUGUUUCAGCCGCCCAGCCUGUGGUAUUCUGUUAUGGCAGCCCAAGCUGACUAAUACACUACCUAAUAGUGAAUGAGAAGAAUUAAAUCAGAAAAUAUAAAUGCAUUAAUAAACAUACCAUGUAUUGGGCACCUCCCUGUGCCAGGCACUUCACCAUCAUCUCUAGUCCUCCAAAACACAUGCUGUUUGCACCACAUCAUGCUGCCAGGCACAUAGUUGGCUUGUUGAUUUGUGUGUGUGUGUGUGACAAGAUCUCAUUCUGUCGCCCAGGCUGAAGUGCAUUGGCAUGAUCAUACUCAUUGAAACCUCCAACUCCUGGGCUCAACAGAUCCUCCUUCCUCAGCCUCUUGAGCAGCUAUGACAAUGGGCAUGCACCACCACAUCUGGCUAAUUUUUUUUAAAUGUUUUUGUAGAGACAGGGUCUCACUGUGUUACCCAGGCUAGUCUCAAACUCCUGACCUUAAGCAAUCCCCCGACCUCAGCCUCCCAAAGUGCUGGGAUUAUAGGAGUGAGCCACCACACCCGGCCGGCUUGUUGAAUUUGGGAUAUGAAUAUCAUAGUCUUAUUAACACCAUGUUUAUAAGCCAUAAUUGUCUUUAUGAAUGUAUUCAUUUUGGAAAAGUAAGUACUAAGGAUGUUCAGCUUUCUGUGCUAUGGAUUAUUAUGUGUGGAGAAACAAGAAAAUGAGUCACAGUCCUCACUUAAAUAUUUUACCAUCUAGUUAGAGAUGAAGACAAGUAUAUUAAUGUUACUGGCCCAUAUGACUAUCUUUGGAAAAACAAUCAUAUAAAGUCAAGAUUCAGCACAGGGACCCAGGGUCCAAAAGAUUUGCAUUUGACUCCCAGCUCUAUAACUUAGCCGUGUGAUCACAGUCAAAUUGCUUAACCUCUCCCUUUUCUCAUCUGCAAAACAGGGAAAUAAUAGCACCCACCUCCAUCAUUUAUUAUACACAAAGAGAUAAUAUGCCUGAAAUAUAUCUAGCUAAAUAAAGACCUAAUCAAAUGUAAGCUGUGACUAUUACCGUUUGUUGUUUGCUUCCUGCUUUUUACUAUUGCAAUUUCUAAGAUCAGCCUUUUUCAAAAGAUUUUUCUUUCAUCUUAAGGCUACCUGGGAACUGACUGUACCUACUACAUACACCGUAACAUGUAUGUACUAUAUACAGCCAUAAUGGGGCAAGGAAAGAAAAUGGAAUGUGUAAUAUAAGAAUAAUGGCAUAUAGUCCUCAAAGACUGUGUUUUAUAUUUUGUCUCCAUUAGAUAUUAACACAGUGCUAUGUAAUGGAGGAAACCCAAGAAAUAUUUUUUGCCUUGAAGAAAAGAACACAAACUCAGAAGUCACAUGGAUCUAAGAUAAGACUUGCAAAGAUUUAAAUUCAAUUCUGCCAUUUACUUCAUAUGAGGACCUUGAGAACCAGUUGAUAGCAUAUCAGAAAAGCUAAUUAAUUUGCCAUGGUUACCAGGAAAACAGGGCCUAGUCUCCAAAGUACAGCCAAAUAGAGGAGCCAAAUAAAAAAGAGGGAAAUUUUUGUCAUGCAUCUUGUUUUUCUGAAAUGUUAUGUUUUAAAAUAUAUCAAUAUUCAAAACACCAUGUGCUUUAUUGAGUUUUAACUCUUAAUUUUGUCCUCUUUUUUCUGCUAGGGUGUUUUUGAGCAGACAAACAAUUUCUUAUUGCCAGGAUACAGCCUGGAACUCUUAAGCACACCAGGCAAGCAUAUGUAUGAAAUAAAAUUUCUACAAAGAAGAGAUUCGUCAAAAAGCAUCACUGGGACACCAACCAAGUGUAAGGCUCUGUGAGGAAAAGGGAAUUUCAGAAAACUGUCAUACCCAGCCACUGCCAGUGAGGAUAUGGUAAUCUUCUUUGGGGACAGAGUGCACAUUCCCCUGAUAAGUCUAGAAAGCAUAGGAUUAGGGCCCAGUGUCGGGCAGACAAUACAUAUUACAGGAAUUUAGGAGAGAGGCAAGUCACAAAAGGCUGAAGAGUUCAGGGAAAACCUCACAGAGGUGAGCCAGGGAUGAUUUCUGAUGGCUGGAGAAGAGGAAAAGAAGAAAUGUCACAAAGUGCACCAUUAUCAGAAAAAAGACAGAGAGUCAAACACUUUAGGUGGAACAGAAAGCUCCAGUCAGGAAAUAAUGAGAUCGAAUUAUAAAAAGAACCAAAAUGUCAAGCUAAGAAAUUUGGAACUGAUCCAGAGAGUAGCUGGAAAGCUGCUGAAUAUUUUAAAGGGAAAAAAAUUACAAAGUGAAAGCAGUUUUGGAUUUGAUUUUUUCAGUUUUCUUUAUUUUGCUGAAAGGAAAUAAGUUCACAUAGUCUAAAUUGAAAAAGUACAAUAAAUAGUGAAAGGUCUCCCUCCCACUUCGGUCCCCUGCUGCCUAUUUUUCUCCCUGGAGGCAAACCAAUGUUAGCAGCUUCUUAUAUAUUCUUCCAGAGAUAACUAUGCCCAUGGAAAUAAAGACGCACAUAAAUUUUUCCCUCCUCCUUUGUAAAUGAGAUGCGUAGACACUUAUUUACCUUGCAUUUUUCACUCCAAAAUCUAACUUACAGAUUAUUUUGCAUGAAUACAUAAAAAAGGUCCUCGUUCACUUUUUUAAAUUAUGCUAUGAAAAUUCAACAUUCACUCUUUUUUAAAUAGAUGCAUUGGUACAAAAGAAUAUACAGGCGAAAUUGUCUCUAACUCUUCUGCAACUUGCUGCGCUGUUCUCCCUGGAGGCGGUGUCUAGUUUCUUAUAUAUCCCUCCAG